GGUCACGUGGUGGGAACAUGAGUACUGUGGUGGUGUGCCCGUUGCCCCGUUCAUUUUGAACUACUUGGUUUUGGGCUUUCAGGCACGCUUUCUCGUGGGUGGGCAACUAUUUCUCUGAGCAAGUGAUGUCUAGCGGGUUCAGGAUUGUAUCCUUGCUGUGAUAUGCGAACCUCCUUCCCAGCCUGAGCAUCACCUGUGGGAUGAGGUAUUUCUCUGCUGCGACACAUGUCAGGUACUGUACACAGAGCACAAGUGGCUGCCAGACACCUGCCUAUCCACUGCAAUUGUAUUGUCGAAGUUCUGAACUGAUGGAAGCAGAUUGUCUAUCUACUUUACAUAGUACUGGAGCAAACUUUUACAGGAUGUCACACCUAUUGUAUCUAGCAAAGAAAUGGAACUGUCUGCCAUGUGCAAUGAGGAUACCAUACUGAUUUCGGGCAACUGAAGUGCUUUGUGGUUCCAAUAAAUGUGGAAUUAAUAUUCUUUGUAAACAAAGGAGAUGUGAAGAACACUUGCGUAGAAAAAUGUAAUUACUAUAAAUGUGGAAUUACAAAAAAUAAACUUAACUAGGAAGAC